AGAUGAUCAGCACACUGACAUGUUGAGGAGCUUAAACUCAGCGUGUGUUCUUCUCCCAGUCAGUGCAGAUCACCAUGAUCAUUUUGACUGUACUGCUGCUCUCAGCUGUUAAAGGCAACACUGCUGCAGAUGGAAUAUACUCACUCUCCUCUGAAAAGCAUGUAUUGGAGGGAGCAGAUGUCACUCUCUCCUGUAACUACAGUGCAGCUACAGGAAACAGGUUCCAGUGGUAUCACCAGUAUCCUGGAUCCAGACCAGAAUUCCUCCUUUACCUGACGGAGUUUAAUAACGCAUCUGAUUCCGCUCUUCGUCUGACAGCAGAGGUUAAGAAACAGUUUGAGCGUGUGGAUCUGAAGAUCUCUCAUACUGUAGUGUCAGACUCUGCACUGUACUACUGUGCUCUGCAGCCCACAGUUACAGGAAACUCAGCUCCACUGUACAAAAACUGA